CUACGGGGGGCUCCAGUGAGGAAUAUUGCACAAUGGGGGGAACCCUGAUGCAGCAACGCCGCGUGGAGGAUGACGCAUUUCGGUGUGUAAACUCCUUUUAUAUGUCAAGAAAAUGACGGUAGCAUAUGAAUAAGCACCGGCUAACUCCGUGCCAGCAGCCGCGGUAAUACGGAGGGUGCAAGCGUUACUCGGAAUCACUGGGCGUAAGGGACGCGUAGGCGGGUUGGAAAGUCAGGCGUGAAAUCCUACAGCUUAACUGUAGAACUGCACUUGAAACUUCUAAUCUAGAGUAUGGGAGGGGGAGAUGGAAUUAGUGGUGUAGGGGUAAAAUCCGUAGAUAUCACUAGGAAUACCUAAAGCGAAGGCGAUCUCCUGGAACAUUACUGACGCUAAGGCGUGAAAGCGUGGGGAGCAAACAGGAUUAGAUACCCUCGUAGUC
rnacentral:rRNA from 1 species